CAGUCGCCGCGGUAAUACGAAGGGUGCAAGCGUUAAUCGGAAUUACUGGGCGUAAAGCGUGCGUAGGCGGUUUGUUAAGUCUGUUGUGAAAUCCCCGGGCUCAACCUGGGAAUGGCAAUGGAUACUGGCAAGCUAGAGUGUGUCAGAGGAUGGUGGAAUUCCCGGUGUAGCGGUGAAAUGCGUAGAGAUCGGGAGGAACAUCAGUGGCGAAGGCGGCCAUCUGGGCCAACACUGACACUGAGGCACGAAAGCGUGGGGAGCAAACAGGAUCAGAUACCCGGGUAGUCCCUGUCUCUUAUAC
rnacentral:rRNA from 1 species